GUAAGAAAUUUAAGUAAGUCUGUCCCAUCCAGGUAAGAAAUUUAAGUAAGUCUGUCCCAUCCAGGUAAGAAAUCUAAGUAAGUCUGCCCCAUCCAGGUAAGAAAUUUAAGUAAGUCUGCCCCAUCCAGGUAAGAAAUCUAAGUAAGUCUGCCCCAUCCAGGUAAGAAAUUUAAGUAAGUCUGCCCCAUCCAGGUAAGAAAUCUAAGUAAGUCUGCCCCAUCCAGGUAAGAAAUCUUAGUAAGUCUGCCCCAUCCAGGUAAGAAAUCCAGGUAAGUCUGCCCCAUCCAGGUAAGAAAUCUAAGUAAGUCUGCCCCAUCCA